AACGAACGCUGGCGGCAUGCCUAACACAUGCAAGUCGAACGAGACCUUCGGGUCUAGUGGCGCACGGGUGCGUAACGCGUGGGAACCUGCCCUUAGGUUCGGAAUAACUCCCCGAAAGGGGUGCUAAUACCGGAUAAUGUCUUCGGACCAAAGAUUUAUCGCCUUUGGAUGGGCCCGCGUUGGAUUAGCUAGUUGGUAGGGUAAAAGCCUACCAAGGCGACGAUCCAUAGCUGGUCUGAGAGGAUGAUCAGCCACACUGGGACUGAGACACGGCCCAGACUCCUACGGGAGGCAGCAGUGGGGAAUAUUGGGCAAUGGGCGAAAGCCUGAUCCAGCAAUGCCGCGUGAGUGAUGAAGGCCUUAGGGUUGUAAAGCUCUUUUACCCGGGAUGAUAAUGACAGUACCGGGAGAAUAAGCUCCGGCUAACUCCGUA
rnacentral:rRNA from 1 species